rnacentral:rRNA from 1 species
UACGUAGGGUGCAGGCGUUAAUCGGAAUUACUGGGCGUAAAGCGUGCGCAGGCGGCUUCUCAAGUCAGAUGUGAAAUCCCCGGGCUUAACCUGGGAACUGCGUUUGAAACUGGGAGGCUAGAGUGUGGCAGAGGGGGGUGGAAUUCCACGUGUAGCAGUGAAAUGUGUAGAUAUGUGGAGGAACACCGAUGGCGAAGGCAGCCCCCUGGGCCUGCACUGACGCUCAUGCACGAAAGCGUGGGGAGCAAACAGG